rnacentral:rRNA from 1 species
GUGAACCAGUACCGUGAGGGAAAGGCGAAAAGAACCCCGGCGAGGGGAGUGAAAAAGAACCUGAAACCGUGUACGUACAAGCAGUGGGAGCCCCACCACUAAGCCAGUGGUGAACUCCACAUACGCAUCCUUUGCUGAGGAUACGGUUAACGGAGCGAAAGCGACGUUCAACCGCAAAAGAAGCAGAGGGGGCUUAGUGGUGGGGUGACUGCGUACCUUUUGUAUAAUGGGUCAGCGACUUAUAUUCUGUAGCAAGGUUAACCGAAUAGGGGAGCCGGAGGGAAACCGAGUCUUA